GACAGAGGUGGCGAGCGUUGUCCGGAUUUACUGGGCGUAAAGGGCGUGUAGGCGGCUUCGUAAGUCAGCCGUGAAAGGCGUCGGCUCAACCGAAGCACUGCGACUGAAACUGCGAGGCUCGAGGGUGGGAGAGGAAAGUGGAAUUCCCGGUGUAGCAGUGAAAUGCGUAGAUAUCGGGAAGAACACCAAUGGCGAAGGCGACUUUCUGGCCCGCUACUGACGCUGAGGCGCGAAAGCCAGGGGAG
rnacentral:rRNA from 1 species